GUUUUAUUACAUUCAAUAUCUUACACAUUUUUAUUAGUGUCAUUGCAGCUUCUUUGUGAACAAAACCUAUUCAUUCAUUAAUAAACAGAGAAAAACAUCACAUCCAUGAGAUCUUCCCAAAUAGCAGUUUCAAGUCUUUAGGAGAUAUUGGUUUUAAUACAAGGUGAAUUUAUUUAAAUAUUAGACGUAUGCAUUGAAACAUGUAUCUAAACGUAAUGUAAAUGCAAACAGUAAGUGUUUGUUUAGAUUGAAUGAAUCAUCUCUGAGAAUGGAUAAGGCACACCUGAUGGCUUUUAGGUAACCAGUAGAACAUUUAGAUUUUUUUGUUUUUGUCGAAGAAAAAUAUCAUUAGAAAUCCCAGAAAUAUCCUCACGGACCUUCAAACACAAUAAUAGUUUUUUUCUCUUACCAAAUCAAUGCAUGAAAAGCUAACAUAAUCAGGCAACCAGGCAAAUAAAAAGCAGCGAAGAACAUAAACAACAAAACAUUUAAAAAACAACAAACAACCACAACUAAAGAAUCAUUCACUCCAGUCCAGUUGCCAGGGAAACAAAGCUAACAUCAAGGCCUGAGGCUUACAUUAGAGCACCUCAUAUACACCCUGGCAUGGCUGUAUUCUGAGACCCUACAGGCACCAGGAAGACGACUGUUUCAGGCCCUCUUCCCCCCCGCGUUGGGCAGACUGGAGGCUUGUUUGUGGUAGCAGUCCGGGGGGCUAGUGUUCAUGCCUGUAGGGACGUAGUACAUGCUAUCCAGGUAGCUCUGGUCCAGAGGUGCAUGACUCUGGGGCUCCGGCUUGGACCCCUGGCUCCCGGGGCUCCCAUAGCCGACCUGAGCGCCAUUCUGGUGCAUCGUCCCUGGGACUGGAGCCUCUGGGUGGCGGGGUGGCUGGGGCUGGGGAUGAGGUGCAGGAGGAGGGGGGCCAUAGGGGAGGUACUGGGGGGCUGGGGCAUAUAUAUUGGGGUUGUGGAUGGAAGAGUAGGGGGCCGCUGAGGCAGUGGAGUAGGGAGCGGCCAAAGGAGGGUAAAGUCCUGAGUGAGACAUGGUACUCUGAGGGAUGAGCACCUCCACGUACUGGCCCGUCUCUGGAUCAAACAGCAUCUUCCUCAGUGGCUGCACAGGCACCUCAAUGUAGAAAUACUUCCCCGUGUCAGGAUCCAUGAGGACCCUGCGAGGGGUUUGCCCGUACCCCAGACCACCUGUACUGUCUGGGUAGUCAGACCCAGACAGACUCCCAUAAUCAGAUCCAUAGGAUGGCCCUAGGCUCUGUGAGCUGCACAAGUACUGAGGGUCCAUAGGGGGCAGGUUGGGAGAGUGGCUGUGGUCACUGUAGGGGCCCCCGGAGACAGAUGGCUGGCCCUGGGGGGAGCGGUGGAGAGUGGGGGCCCGGCGGGGUUCCAUGUGUUGGGGGUGCUGGAGAGGGCGGUCAGCCAGGCAGGGCUGGAGUAUGGAGGGGUGGGGUUGGUGGAGGGACUGGUACAUGCCUGGAGGGGGCUGAGUGGGGCUGGGGAGGUUGGAUGAUUUGGGAGAGCUGGGCUGGUAGCCGAUUGAUCUCAGAGAAUGGGGAUCCGCUCUGCACUGGUGUAGGCGGAGAGGAGGUUGACCAGGGGAGUGGGAGGGGGAGGGGAAGGGAGGGGUGUGGGGGGAGUGGUGGUGGUGAUGGGGUGUAAGGCCGUGGGAGGGGCAGCCAGAGGUGCAGGAGCAGGGAGGGGGACGGGAGGAGGCAGAGGAGAAGGGAGAGGAGGGGUGGUAGCGGUUCAGCUUCCUCUGGGGCAGGUCAGGUAGGUGGAGGGGGCUGAACCUCUCUCUCUCGUCAUAACUAGGGGGGUCAUCUGAUGCGUAGAAACGCAGGUCGUCUGCCCUCUGCGAGUGGUCGCUAGACAAGGAUCUGUGUAUGGGCUGCUGUGUGUGUAUGUGGUGUGUGUAUACGGGAGCCUGUGUGUUUGUGGAUACCGUGGCAGGUUGGUUUGUAUUGUUGAAGGUAACCGGCAUAGUUUGCUCCUGAGGGUAUGCUGUUUUUGUUUUUGGAUGCUGCAGGUGGUUGGUUAUAUCCACAUCAGCUGACUGGCUUGAGUGUAUGGCAGGGGAAUUGGUAGGGACUUGGGCAGGGGCAUGGGUAGGGACUUGGGCAGGAUCUGGGGCAGCAGGGGCUUGGUUCGGAGCUGGGGCUGGAGCUGGGGCUGAGACUGUGAGGGUUGUGGGUCUCUGUGUGUAGCUGGGGGCCUCUCCUUGUCCCUGGGUUGAGGCCUCUGGUUGCUUUGGCCUUUCAUUGGAUGUCUCUGUGUCUACUGUUGUUGAUGGUGGUUUGUGAGAGAAACUAGCGAUGAUUGUUGUUUUGGUAGGUGAAGGCCUGUAGCUAGACACUGCAGAAACUGAUAACUUUUUAUUGUAGUUAGACGCUGGGGUCGAAUUAUUCGAUAGAUGUCUGUGGAUAGUCGUAGCUGAAGUUGAUGGUUUCUCAUUGUUCACAGGUCUCUCCUCUUCUGUGUUCUGUUUGAAGGUUGAUGUUGGUGCUUCCACGGAUUUCUGCUGUAUUUCAUUGGACAGUGAAUUUGCAUCUGUCGGUUUGAACUUUGGUUUCAGUGCCAGUGGCGGACCGUUGGAUAUUGAGUGAACCUCUAUAGCUUGCGGUCUGGUGUUUGACGUGAUGUUCUUCUCUUGUUUAUCUUGUUUAUGUAUUUCUUUGGACAACGACCUCACCUCGAUCACUUGUGGUCUGUAUCUUCUCAUCAGUGCUGGUGAGCCUGGUAGCGAGCCUGGUAACUUAGGUGAGUAGGUUGAUUUCUUCACCGUCUCUUUUUCAGCAGUGUCUUCCUGUGUUUUCUUCUGUGAGGGUGGUGGUGAUGAUGUCGUGCGUUGCUCUAUGUCUCUGACCGUGGCUCUGACACUAACCCUCUCCUGAUUCGAAGGGGUCCUAACACUGUCUUCCGUUUGAGCAGAGUCUCUUCGAAGCCCGGGAGAAUUUGGGGCCGAAUGGGUAUGUGAGGAAGAGGCUGAUGCAUUGACGGAAGAUGAGGAAAAGGAUGAGGCUGAAGUUGAUGCAUUGACAGAGGUCGAGGAGAAGGAUGAGGUUUCUUUCACAGUGCUUGAGGAUGAUACGGAUGAGGCUGCUUUCACAUAGGAUGAAGAAGAGGACGAGUAAGUUCUCUGUCUGUGUGAGUCACUCGUACCCCCAUCUGAGGGUCCACGGGUCUGAAGAGGGAUCUCUAUUUGGUUGAUAUGUUUCCCUGGGACGCCUCCACCUCCACCCCCACCUUCACGCCCACUCCUUGUUAUGGCCUCUGACACAGCCUCAGAGACCAAAGACCCAAUAUCUGCCUGGUAGCCCUUCUCCUUCACCAGUAUGGACACAGAGUGGCUGGGGGUAGGGGUCUUGAUGGGGACAGUGGAAGGUGGAGUGCCUAGAACUGGGGAUGAAGCUGGUGCUGGAGGAGAAGCUGGGGCUGGCGAAGCUUUGGGACCAAGUGAGGGUGAGGAGGCCAGGAUUGGAGCUGGGGCUGGGAAUGCUGGAGCUGGACCUGGGGAACAGGCAGGAACUAAGGCUGAGAAUGACUUGGGCUUAUUAGAUCCAUCCUGUAGCACCAGAGAAGCACAAGACACUCUUCUGUCUUUACUGGGGAGUUUAGGGCUGCUGCCCAGCAUAGGUGGCUUGGUAUCUCUUCUCACCACUUCAGGUUUGUCACUAGCCUCUGAUAUACUUCGGUGUCUCCUGGUUACUCUCAGUGACUCUGUUUCACUGGGUUUCACCUUGGUGUUGCUUGGUUCUGUUUUGACAGUGUCCUUUACAGGGGUCUUGUGUUGGUUUGACUCUGUCUCUGUCACAGCUACUUCCUCUGUUGCGCAACUCUUAGGUGCUACAUCAGAGAGGUUCCGGGGUCCUUUGGACACCGGCUUAGGUUCGCCUCUAGACGUUUCUCUCUCUGUUUUGUUGGACAUUGUUGUUGUUUUGUUUUUGUUUUCUCUCCAGCUGAUAGCUUUGAAUUCCAUCUGCAUCGGCUUUUCCUCUUUCUGGAGAGAUAUUGGGUGAGGUGGUAGCUUGUCCUCUUUCUGAAGAGAUAUUGGGUGAGGUGGUAGCUUUUCCUCUUUCUGAAGAGAUAUUGGGUGAGGUGGUAGCUUGUCCUCUUUCUGAAGAGAUAUUGGGUGAGGUGGUAGCUUUUCCUCUUUCUGAAGAGAUAUUGGGUGAGGUGGUAGCUUUUCCUCUUUCUUCUCUUCUCUCCUUACUAUUGUCUCUUCAUACCUCCCCUCUUUCCUUUCCACUCUGUCAUCUUUCUUCUCUUCCCUCCUUUCCUCCUUCCUUUCCUCUUUUCUCUCCUCCCUCCUUUCCUGUCUCGGUUCCUCUCCCCUCUCCUCACUCCUCUCCUCCUUCUCUGGUGCUGGCAUGGCCUUGAACGACAGGUUGUAUGUGUUUUUCACCAGCCUUCUCACAUCUCUCACUUUGUGCAUGGGAGCUUUGGCUUUACUGUUCCUAUUGGCAUCCAUAUUCACCAUCUGUUCAUUCAUCUUGUUCAAGGUAUUCACCCCCUUCUCUUCUUCUCUUGUUACUCUAUGUGAAGUCCCUAUUCUCCUGUCUUCCUCUCUGGUUUCUGCAUGUGAAGUCUCCACUGUCCUGUCUUCUUCUGUUGUUUCUCUCUGACAGGUCUUCCCAGGGGAGGCAGUCUCGUGGUUACCCUCAGGUUUAGUUUCUAUCUCGGGCAACAGUGAGAUGUUGAGAGAAGAGGUUUUCUUUAUCUCUGUAACAGGGCUGGGUUUCAGAGUGAUCUCUGGUGUUUUGGACAUGUAGGUGCUCUUGACACUCGGAUGUUUAUGGUUUAAAGAGUCAGAGGGGUAUUCCAGCUUUGUGUUUGUCAUUCCUGCCUGCGUGCUGCUGGCUCGGGUGGCAGUGGGAACGCUGGUGUUCCGGGCAGCUGCAUCUGCUGAGUCACCUGCCUGUUUGUAAUCCCUCUCAUCCCUCCAUUUACUGUCAUCCCUCUCAUCCCUCCAUUUACUGUCAUGUGUCUGCUUACCCCCCAUAUUGGCAUUCUUCUCUGUGGGUUUUUUACUCUCAAACGGGAACACCAGUUCAGACCUCAUCUCUGGUUUGACCGGGUCAGUUCUCCAAGAGUUUGGGUUUCUGGCAGGAGACUCAGUUCUGUCGCUGUUUCUCUGAGGACAAUUAGUAGUAGGGGGCUCAGAUCUCAUCCAAGGGCUAACAUGGUUAGGGCUUCUGUUGCUGUGAGAUUCAAUUCUCUCGUUGCUUCUCUGAGGAAAGGUAACAGGAGCAACAUGUGCGUUGGGACUCAUCUCAGGGGUUGUGCUGGUAGGUUCAGGCCUCUCGUUGCUUCUCCGAGGAAAGGUAACAGGAGCAACAUGUGCGUUGGGACUCAUCUCAGGGGUUGUGUUGGGAGGUUCAGGCCUCUUGUUGCUUCGCUGUAGAGAAGUGGAGUCAGUAUUAAUAGUAUGGUUCAUUCGUCUAACACUGGAUUUCACCCCAAAACUUCCAUGUUGUCUGUUUACGUCAGUGUUUGGACUGGUCUCUCUUCUCACAGCCAGGUGCUCAGAAGAAAAACUGUUUCGUGAGUUUAUGCUGGAACUCAGAUUCCGUGUCUCUGGUUUUGUGGACUCUUUAAGGGUUGACGCCUCACUAUCAGGGGGAAGAGGGGUUUUGUCCUCAGAGGGGCUGAGGUCACCUCCUUCUCCUUCCUGGUCAGUUGGUUUACCAACAUUCUGCAUCUUCUUGGAGAGGAUGUUGUUGAUCAGGCAGGUGGCCAUCUUGGUUUUGGUACAUGUCUCGUCCAGGGACAAAGACUUCUGGAGCUUGCCAUUUCUCUUGGUCUGCUCAGUCCUCUCGGUGGCAGGUUCAGGGCUGGGUUCCGGGCAGUAGGCUUCCUGCAAGGCCGGAGGAGUGCUGUGUUGUCUCUGCAACGUCUCUCUGCUGUGUCUCUUUAGAGAGGUACUGUCCAUCGGAACAAUAGAAGCCACAGGAGCCACAGGAACCAUUACAGGACUAGGAACCAUGAUGGGACUACCAUUGCUGUUCUCACCCAUCUUCAGCUCGGCCGUAUUCCUUCUCUUCAGCUGGAUCUGUCUCUUGGGCACUCCUCUCCUCACCUUCUUGGGCUCCUCUCUCUCCACAGCCACGUCCACACACUCAAAGCUGCCCAUCUCACAUUUUUUGGAUGAGUCCAGGUCGUCAUGGGGUGGAUAAUAAGCCCCAGAGGAGGGCUGCUGCUGCUGCUGGCGUGGGACUGGGAAGUCUUCAUUGUCCAGCUGUGGAACAGACCCUCUGAGGUCAGCAUAGGCCAGCCAGGCUGCAUUAGCCCCCGCUGGGCUGUCCUGGGUGGAGGGCUGGGAGGCUCCAGUGGAGGAGCGGUGGCUGGAGUUGUACAUGUCCAGGUAGUCCACCUGAGGGGAUCCAGAGGACAGGCUGCGGAAGGCCACGUCACUGAACCACUUCACCUCGUUGUCCUCCUCAUCCAGCUUGCUGCCCAUGCUGGAGCUGGAGCCGUUAACUGAGACGCAUCCAGGAACGGAGCUCCCGAGCUGGGGUAUCGCAGGCUUGUAUUUGGGCUGGUACUUCUUGGUGGGUCCCGGUCCACCUCCUCUGGCUGUCUCUGGCUGGGAGCUUUGUGCAGCUCUGUGCAGUAUACAGUGUUGUUGCUGUUGUAGCUGUUGUAUCUGUUGUAGUCUGGUGGUGAGCAGGCUCUCUGAAUAGGAGCAAGCGGCUGGCAUUCCCUGUCGACUCUCUCUGCUUGUGGGAGCUGCGUUGCGGCUUGCAGGCCCUUUUCUAUUCCUGACACUGAAUGACAGGUCAACCUGUUCCCCCUUGUAACUGGCCUCCUCCUGCCUUCCCUCCCCCUUUCCAGGCACCUGCUCCUCCCCCUGUCUCUCCCUCUCCGCUUGCCACUCCCUCUCCAUUGCCCUCUCCUUUUCUUCCUCCCUGUGUCUCUGCCUUUCCUCUCUCUCCCUCUCUCUUUCCCUCUCCUCCUCCCUUUGCCACUCCCUCUCUCUUUCACCCUCCUCCUCCCUCUGCCUCUCCAUCUUUCUUUCCCUCUCCUCCUUCUCCCUUAUCUCCAUCUCUCUGUUCCUUUUUCUUUCCCUCUGCGUCUCUCUAUCCCUCUGUUGCAUCUCCCACAACAUCUCCCUCUCCUCCUCCUCCUCAUCUCUCUCCCUCUCCUCCUC
ensembl:lncRNA